GGUCCAGUAGCACAGUUGGAGUGCACCAAGUUCGAAUAUCGGUGAUCACAUUGAUUCACUCGGAGGUUCCCUGUUCAAUUCAGGGCUAGGCCA